CUCAGAGUUGCCGCCCAAGCGGUAGAAUCGAAGGAAAGAAAGCUCCUCCAGGGACAAUGCAAUCAAGAGAAUGA